rnacentral:rRNA from 1 species
CGGGCGAAGAUAAGACGGAUUAGCGGCGGACGGGUGAGUAACACGUGAGUAACCUGCCUUUACACAGGGAUAGCCUCGGGAAACCGGGAUUAAAACCUGAUGAAACUAUCAAAUCACAUGAUUAAGAAAGUUAAAACUCCGGUGGUAAAAGAUGGACUCGCGUCCCAUUAGCUAGUUGGUGAAGGUAACGGCCCACCAAGGCAACGAUGGGUAGCCGGCCUGAGAGGGUGAACGGCCACAUUGGAACUGAGAAACGGUCCAAACUCCUACGGGAGGCAGCAGGG